rnacentral:lncRNA from 1 species
AUUCGAACGGCAGGCGGGAAGUGCUCUAGCAGGGGAGUCUGACCUUGUGAGGGAAUACCUGUGUCCCCCCUUUUUUCCCCUUUUUACCCAAUAAAACCCUGCCUUACUCACCCUUUAAAUCAUCUGCGAGCCUGAAUUUUCAUGGCCGUGGGACGGACAAGAACUUUAUCUUCAGCUGAACUAAGAAAAAGUCCUGCAACAUUUUUGGCGCGCAAUGUGGGGGCACCAGAAGCGGGCACCGUUGAGCUGUUGCAACUGUUCUGCUGGAGCCUUAUGUAUGUGGUUGAAACCACCUGUACUACUGGAAUGAAAGCACCUUUACAGAAGAGGCAAUGCAAGUUGUAUUCAUCACAUGUGUAGAAUGAAUUAAGAUUUAUGCCAGUUGCAAAGAAGAAUAUUGGCUCACUAUUUUUCCUCUGGGCAUCAGCAUAUGAUCCCCUGUUGAAGACAGACAAGUACAUCUUUCUGGUGGCUCCUAGACCUGGCAUUGGGAACAGAAGAUUAUCAGUAUGAUCCGUACGCUUAAGGAAAGAUCUCAUAUUAUUGAAAUGAAUAUUUUAUUUGAUAAAUUGAACUACAGAAUAAAGUACUUUUAACAAACCAUACUUUCUGCAGUGGUUCUUUCUUUCUCUUGUUUCUUUUCUUCUUUCCUUCCUCCCUAGCUGUUUCCCUCAUUCUCUUCUUUUUUUCCUUCUUUCUUUUCACUUCCUUUUUUUUUUUCUUGAUUAGAAUUCUAGAAUUUCUACUUAAUUCAAGAGAUUCCUACCAUCUGAAAUGCUUGGUUUCAAAGGGUGAGAAUAGUAACCCACACAUUUUUUUUCAAUACAAGGGAAAUAAUAGAAAGAUUUGUGCCUUACAUUUCUUCCCAUUCUUCCUACGACUAUAUGUUAUUCACAAAAGCACAUGGCACUUGAAUUCUAACAAAAUUGUAUUACUGUUAAAGUGAGCUUCUCAAAUGCACUCUGCAUGUAACACUCCAACAAUUCAUGAUGGAUUUGCUGCCUUAAAAAUAAAAUAAUCUUAAUAAUUUUUAAAACCAAUAAGCAGAAACUAAUUUCAAGAGCCUGCUUUGUGUGUUAGAUUCAGAGCAUAGCACUUAGUGUUUUCCUCAGAUAAUGGAAGCAUAAUAGGUGUGAAAGGCUGACAAUUUGGACUUUGUGGGUGGUCAGGAAGGGGUCACUCAUGGGGCCACCUGUCCUUUGUUCAUGAGCAGCACAGCCAUGUUUUAAGUAGUCCUGGGGUAAGGUUCCCUGGCACUGUGCUCUCAGCAGGAUGCUAGCCUGACCUGUAGAGACCACCUCCGAGAGUGUGUGUAGUUCACUUUCCGGGACCGGCUCUGUCCUUGAUCUCCGUGCUGUGACUGACAUCAAGGUGACCAAUUAGUGAGCACCAUGAUGGUGUUUUCUGUGAUGUUGUAAGGGCACAGAGGUCACAGGCGAUUCAAGCCCAGCUAAAUCCCAGGAGGCUGCACAAAGCCAUGUCUCUGAAGUCUGACUUCAACACAGCAUCCCGCAAAUGAAGGUAUGGCUCCUUUUUUGAACUUGACCGGGAACCUGCUCACUGAGCAGGUGCCUGAAAUGCAGCUGCUACAGCAAUUUUGAAUAGCAAAGACAUUUACUGAUUGCCAAAACCCAGCUUUACCCUGAAACAAGGUAACCUGGGUCAUUCUCAAGGGGAGAUGAAGGCUGAAUGACUAGGAAGAAAAAAAUAGCUUUCAGGGUUUUUAGGGUUUAGGGGCUAAACUACAGUAAGUGAGUGACCACAUAUCAAAGUUUUCUUUCAGCUUCCUUCUCCACUACAUAAUUUGUCAAUAUUUAUUUUAUAUCAGGGUAACAGUCACGGAAUCUUAUUUUGUUUCUCAUUAGAAUUUGCAAAGAGCUUUGCCAUUCUAACAACGCUCUGAGUUAAGGGGAUUAAUUGUCUUCAAAUAUCUGAUGAAACAAAUUGAGAUUUCUAGAAGCUCCUAGCCUUUUCUUUUCCACUCAUUUGUAUUCUUUGCCCUGUUUAGUUGGCAACUGCACAGGGCCAGUUCAGUCAACCCAGAAUGAAGAAUUGGCUGCAUCCCUGAUGGAGAGGCCAAAGGUCUCUGCACCAGCAGGAUGGGCUGCUCUGGGAUAGUGGAAGGUAGGAACAGGAGGCAGCUAUGAUUAUUGAGUCUGGCAUAGAAAAGAUCAGAGAUCAUCAGCUGAGCACAAUUCAAAAUACAGCCCAAUGGUGAAUUUUUUACCUGUACACAGACCAGUUCUGUCUGAUUUAUUCUACUGAGAUGUAGCUUUGGUAGAAUUGUCAGAUUUAGCAACUAAAAAUAUAAGCCAUCAGUUACAUUUGAGUUUCAUACAAAAAGCAAAUAAUUUACAUAUAAGUAUGUCCCAAAUAUUACAUGAAGCACAUGUAUACUAUACAUACACACAUAUAUAUGUAUAUCUACACACAUAAGCAUAUAUAUAUAUAUAUAUGCUUUGUUUAUCUGAAAUUGAAAUUUAGCUUGGUGUUCUGUAAGUUACCUGGCAGCCCUAGGUUCUGGGGUCAGAAACCCACACAGCCAUGGAGACCAAAGAGCUGAAAGGGUUCUGACACCAACUGGUAAAAGUGGCCAAAAUUCCGUUAAUGGUUGGGAGUAGGGGGAGACAAAGGUCUGGAUAAAGGGAGACACUGAUAUUUCCAAUGCUGCUUUAUGCCACACACAGUGCUUAAUUUUUCUCUUUGUUUGUUUUAUUCUCAGUAAAAAAUGUACAGAGAAAUGCCACCAAACUAUUCAAUAUCACAUGGGGGGUCACCUGACUUAGUAGCACGUGAUCAGAGCCGGUUUAUAGCAUCCUUCUACUUUCUGUUUACAUCACCUCUUCUUCUGGUGUUGAGACCCUGCAUAGUUUCUUUUGGCUUCCACACUCACCCAGACAUGUUGUGGGCAUUCCUCUCCCUAGCACCCCACAAAAAAAGAAAUUUGAAAUCUGUUCAGUGCCCUCUAUCUUCUCAAUUUCUUAUGAAGUGGUUAGAGCUAAUUCCGUAGACUAAGUCAUGCCGUCUUAAUGGAUGGUGAUAGUUUAAAUUACCAACACACAUGAAUAGAGCCUUUAGGGACUUUAUCUUGACUUAGUGGCUAAAGUGUGCAUCUCUAGCAAUUAGGGAGAGGAUAUUUUCCAAAUAGAGAGCCUCUCCCUGUUUUUUAAGUCAUGCCAUAUUGAAUAUUGCUUAGAAGUAGAGAUUAAUCUAUUUUCAGAGAAUGGGAAAAUUUUUGGACUCUUCGGUUACAUUUAGGCUAACUUUCAAGUGAUAGUCUGUGUUCUCCUGGAGAAUUAACACAUAGCCACUACCUACCCUAUUACUUAAGACUGCCUUGUGAGUUUUGAUCUCACACAUUUCAUCAAAUUCUGAAAGGCUGCCUUUCUCAAUCCUGAUGGCAAUAUUCCAGAUCACUUCCUGCUCUCCCCCUACAAAAAAAAAAAAAAAAAAAAAAAAAAAAAAGAAGAAGAAAGAAGAGGAACACUCACUAAGCUCAUUGAUAUAUACCCUAAAGCAACACACAAGAAUCUGGUUAUAAUAUAAACACAGCUCCAUGAUUUUCAGAUGAGAAAGGCUAUAAAAUGUGCAAAUGCCAAGUGUCAUUAUAAUCACAGAGUCAUCUUGCUAAAGAAGCUCAUAAUUUCUCAGACAUUUACGACAGCUAUUUCUGCCCCCAUGGAGAUGAGUUAUAAUCAAAUACAACCACAGGCCAUUGUCUCUGAGCCAAACUCCAAGGCAACCUCCAUUAAAAAUUACCAACAUUUUUCAUUUGUCUUUAUUUUGUGUAGUGAUUAUGUCUGGGGAGCAGGACACCAGACCAAAGCAUUGCACUAUCUAGUGAGGCUGGGAUGCUACCGGAUUUUAAUCUAAAAACAUACUACUACUCUGACUGGCAUUUGUGUGGACAAAGGAAUGAUAACGAUUUACAGCUGAAAAUCUCUUUAUUUUCCCUCUUGAAUAUUUAUACUUGUUCUUCUCUCUCCCUAUUUCUUUCUGUCUAGUUUUCCCUUCCUAUAUUUUUCUUCCUAUCUUAUUCUCCCCUCUUCUCUCCCUUUCCUCUCUUUUUUCUCUCUUUUUUUCUUUCUGUGUGUUAGUGCUGUGACUCUUACUGUUAAUGCCAGAGGACUCUUCUUGAACUGACAACUGAAUUGCCAGUGUGAAUUUCCAGUGCUCUGGUUUAUUUUCAUUCACAGUUGUUUUGGUAGGAUUUCAAACUGUAUUUACAAAACAGGAGAAAACGAGCCCAUUAAUCUCCUUUGCCUUCUCAUUCUAACAUUCUAACUUGCUGUAUUUCUUCAAACUCUUUUUUUUCUCUCUUUCUCAGAAAUAGACUUUGAAAAUAGACUUUGGUACCAAUAAAAUUAAGCUGAUAAAGUUGUGUCAACUGGAAUCCCAAGAUGUGUAGGGUCCGAUUAUCAUCCCUGCUCCUGUUUUGUGAUCACUUGAGUCUCCCAUAUAGGUGAGAGCCCCUGUAAAGAUAAGAGCCCCUGUGAAGAUGAGAGGAGAACUUUGCACAGGAUGCCACUUUGAUGUGUAGACGUUUAACCUGGUUUGUCCUUGCCCGCAUGUUUCUAUAGCUUUGUCUUUUGCUCUUCCCCUUGUCAUUUGAUCGUUUUUACUUAUUCAAAGGCUUCAUUCCUAUACCGCCAAUUUACUUCUUGCUACUGGAUCAUUUCCAUCAGUCUCAAGACAUGUUAUAAUCUUAAAAGGAAACAAACAAACAACAGUAACAAGAAGCAAUCUUCCAUUAACCCACAUUUCAAUCCAGCUACUGUCUCAUUUCUCUUCUCCCUUUGUGGCAAAACAUUUCAAAACAUUGUGUAUAUUUAUGUGUUUGUGUCUUUUAUACACAUACUCUUUCAUGCUAUUCUGAGCCUAUAGUCAUCCCCAUUACACCCAAAACUGUUUUUGUCAAGGUCACCACCAAGUUGUUAAAUCCAAUGGCCAAUUCUUAUACCUUUGUUUAUCUGUAGAAGUGUACUCAGUAUGGACAACUGGAGACUAACAGUAUAAAGAAAAUAAACUUUUCUUAGAAAAGAAGGCUUGAUUAAAAAAUAAUGAGUCGGUACUGGAAGAACGAGGUGAGUUGAUGUCUUAAAUUCUAGUUCUGGUUUGGUGCCCAUCAGUUGAGAAUUGAGACAAUGAAUGCAGGAUUAUAAAAUUGGAAAAGCCAGAAGCCAAAACUACCAUUUUAAUGAUGUUACCAUGGGACACUGGGGGUACAAACUGUGGAACAGUGGCAUUGGAAAAAUUUUUGUAAUAAUGAUAAUAACAUUAAGGAGGGCAUCUCCAUAUUGGUGAUGCUUGAACAUUGUUUUGCAGAAGUACUUGUGGAAUCAGAAUUAGGGGUAUUGGUCAUUUGCUUAGAGCAAUUUACUAAUUAUUUUAUCUAUGUUCUUCAAUAUACUAUAUAUGGCCUAUUUCUUAACCUAAAUAGAUUUAAUAGCAUGUAAACCCAUUUAUUGCAAGAUUGUGUAUUGACACUUGAGAGUGUUGCUGCUUUCUGGUUGCUGAGUUGUCAGGAGCAUUAGGCUCACAGGGAGAACUUUAAUUUGCUAUCCAUACUCAGGAGUUCUGUCUGUGUUUUUACGCUUUCUCUUCCCUACUCUGAUUUGGUUGUCAUUUCCUGUUGUCAGAGUUUUUAUUACUUCUAAUCUAUUGUGAACUGAGAAAACAAAAACAAAUGUGCUGAAAUUGUGUCUAAAAUAAGCCAAAGAAGAUCUGAUUGAAGGCCAUGUGUCUUAGUCUGUUUUGUGUUGCUAUGACAAAAUACCACAGAUUGGGUAAUUUACAAAGAACAUAAAUUUAUUUCACACAGCUCUAUAGGCUGCGAAGCCCAAAAUCAAGUUGCCAGUGCGUUUGGUUGUCUAGUGAGGGUUUGGUCUCUCUUUCCAAGAUGGCACCUUAACACUGUCUCCUCUAAAGGGGAGAAAUGCAGAAAGUAGGAGAAAAAAGACAAAGUCCCUCUAGCAAUCCCAUUUAGAAUGGCAUCUAAUCCCAUUCAUAAGGAAAGAGCUCUCAUGACUCAUCACUUCCCAAAAGCGACACCUUCCAAGUCUGUUGCAUUAGGGAUUAACGUUCAACAUUAUUUUGGAGGGGAAGAAGCACUCAAACCAUAGCACCAUGAGAAUGACAAAAUAAAUUUUGAAUUUUUUUUUUUUUUUUUUUUGAGAUGGAGUCUUGUUCUGUAGCCCAAGCUGGAGUGCAGCGGUGCAAUCUCGGCUCACUGCAACCUCUGCCUCCCAGGCUCAAGGAAUUCUCCUGCCUCAACCUCUGGAGUAGUUGGGACUGCAGGCAUGCACCACCACACCCAGCUAAUUUUUGUGUUUUUAGUAGAGACAGGAUUUCACCAUGUUGGCAGGCUGGUCUUGAACUCCUGACCUCAAGUGAUCUGCCCACCUUGGCCUCCCAAAUUGCUGGGAUUACAGGCCUGAGCCACUGCGCCUGGCUGAAAUUUUUGAUUUUUAAGACCUUUAACUUCCCUAAUCUGCCUAUCUAGGUGCAUAUUCCCUUACUUAUUUAUAUCAUAUGUGGUUUCAUGCCUAGAUGUUUGUGUCCCACUCAGUAUCAUAAAACUGACUAGAGAUUCAGUAUUUAGAAUAGAAUUCCAUCCCAACAUCAAUUUCACCUGAGUUCUACAACCCAGGUUAAUCUCCCAUCCUCUCAGGUACUAUUGCUUUAAAUGUCUAAAAUGUAUUGGCACAUAGUACAGCCCUCCUUCUAUCUUUAUCUUUCUCUAAAUUUACACAGUCUCUAGAAGUAAUUUAUGGGCUCCCUGAGGUCAGAAACCAGUUUCAUCUCAUUUCGUUUUAUUUUACUUUGUUUUAGGUAUUUAUAUCUACCUUGUUCUAAAAAAAGAUUUAAAGUGACUAAAAAAAUACCCACAAUUCUGAAAAAUAAAUGCAUAAAGAAUGAAAAAUUAGGAGGACAGAAAGUCACAGUAGAAAAUAAGAUGAAUUCAAGGGUGAGAUUGAUACAUACAAGUGUUUGCUGUGAGGUUCUCUGCAAUGCUCUAGAUAGGUUAUUAUGCGUCAUCUUUCUAACCGCAGACCCAAAGAUGAAUUAUUGGUCAGACGCUUGAUUUACAAUAGAUAAUAACACAGAUAAACAAGUAAACAAUAACAUCCAGUCGCUCAGGGAGAGCCUACUUAUUUCUCAUUUUCAGAAAUAAUGUCUCUAGGGGUCUUUAUAAACCUGAUGCUGUAUCAAGUAGUGAAUAAAGUUUUUUUUUGUUGUUUUUCUUGUUUUGUUUUGUUUUGUUUUUGUUUUUGUUUUUUGAGACAAAGCCUUGUUCUGUUUCCCAGGUCGGAGUGCAGUGGCCUGAUCUCAACUCACUGCAACUUCUGCCUUCCGGGUUCAAGUGAUUCUCCUGCUUCAGCCUCCCAUGUAACUGGGAUUACAGGCAUGCACCACCACACCUGGCUAAUCUUUGUAUUUUUAGUAGAGACUGGCAAUUUUUUAACAGUAUCUCCACAUUAAGUGUCAGCCAAAGAGUUUCAUCUAGCUAUUUUGUAUAAUGGCCUUAAGCUCAGGCUAAGGCACAGGAUCAAGAAUUAGAUUUUCUACAUUGUUAUGCUCACAUUGAUUCAGGCCAUUGAUACAAACAAUAUUCAAAGGAAAAACAAGCUGCAGUAUGCCUCUGGAAUAAGCCAGCACACAAAUUGAACACACACAUAUACAUAUUCUGUGAAUGUUCGUUUCAGAUUACUUUGUGCUUUUAUUUGUCUCUGGGAGUAAAUGGGACAUUUCUAAUGAGUGCUCAUCAUUUUGGCAGCCAGACUACUCACAGAUGAUAUGAGCCGCUAACCACCAGGGACAAUGUUUGCCCAGAUGUGACUCUAUCUUAUGCUACAAAGCAUUGUAAAUGUCAAACCCCUGGUUGGUAUGCAAUUCUCCAUUUACCAUACACAAAGCCUGCUGGAGAACAAAAGGUGCCAGAUAUGGAUGUGUAAAUCAUUAUAAUGGGACCAACAGAUCAACAACAUCACCCCUUAGAAAUAGGAUGGCCUGAGGUCACACUUCUUAGAUCACUAGCCCCUUUUCAAAAUGUCCUUUUUUGUUUGUCCUCUUUUUCAAGAGGCACCACAGGCUUUUUGUAAUUAAAGUUGUAUUGAUUUUGUAUUUUUAAAAAAGGAUUAUAAAAAGACUAGCAUGAACCAGAACAAAGGCAGAUAAUGGAUGGUAAACAUGAGGAAAGAUAAUAGUCCAGCAAUGCGCUCAUAAUAAUUCCCACAUACCUGCUUCCCAAAGUUGAUUCAGAUGCUACUUUGUUUUAAAAGCUAUCCUAUGUACCAGCAAUUUUCAAUAGUGAUCCUAGGCAGUUACUUAGGUUGAUUAUAGCAAUUUUGCUACAUCAUGAUAUAGCAAAUUGCUAUAUUUUUGCUAUAUCAUGCUAUAUUAUGAUUGCGGUCUUUUUAUUUUCCAAAUCUUUAAUUCAUUUUAAAAGAAAGGUUUGUUCCAGGAUGGCAAAUACAGUGGUUGAAGCUGGGGGCAUGAUGAUAAAAGAACUCUAGAACUUCAGGAUUCUCCAUUGUUCUGGCAUUGCUGCCCACCAGCAGAGGAUCAGGCUGACAUCUUCAGGAGGCAUAUGGAGGUAAUGGUUAACUUUGCUACAGUGAAGACCAAGGUAAAUUGGGUGCACUGAAGAGAAAAACCUGACCACUUCUGCAGCUGUGCAUCUGGAGUCUGGUAGGACCCUUCAGUCCCUUUUGAGACAUUAAUUAUAAUGUGCAAUGCUAAUUUACCAAGUUUUUCAAAUCUGUGGAUAGAAAGAAGUCAUCAGAAUAGGUAUGCCAAAAAUCUCCCCAACUCCAGCCCCCUGAAGGUGUCUCCUGAGUUACAUCUGUGUUCUCGCCAGGAUAUGUCACUGGUCUGGUCUUCUCAGUCUGUGACUGCACUGUAUGUCAUCUGCCACGUUCUUCCUGUCUCUCUUAUUCUGCUUCACUGACUCAUGUCUUCUGUCUGAAGAACAUUUGACGGGGCCUUAGCCUUGCCGUCACUCCCAUGGCCAACCAAGACAGUGCCAUAUCUGGGGUGGUAGGAUCUCCUGCCACUUCCAAAGCCACUAAACUGUAUACUUUUCCAUCUAGGCUGUUUUCCAGAAUGAAGAUAUCACCCCUCUCUACCACACUUCAUCAACAUUUCUUAUCUUGACCUCUAUAGGACUGCUGUUUCCUCGUGUGAAAUCAGUAACUUUACUAACUACACUUGGGCAUCAGGUCAUGUAAUUGAACUAAGGGCAGAGAUCAUGCUGCUGUCUCUGCUUUCUCUUUUUUUCUUCCCCUUUGCUGCCUCCCCUGCCUUACUCCCCAGGGACUCAUGAACAAAUUCCCUCUCCAUUUCAGUCAAAACCUAAAGUCUUUGGCAAAUCAAUUCAGAUAAAUGAACUGGUGUUACUUGAAUCUCAGUUUGUGUAGAAGAUUGAAACUAAAGAGAAAAUGGAAUGUUAGAUUAGCAGUGGUUUCCAUAUAGCUAUCUGGUGCUUACCAGCUAGCAUGCAUAAUGGGGAGUUGACUAAAACAAUCAGAUGGAUCGCUGGAAUAGCUAAAUGAAAGUGAUUGAUGUGACACUUGUGUAAAUUAUAGGGGGAAACUCUAGCACUUUGAGUCAGGAAAUCUCUGAUCUAGUUACAGCUCUACUACCCACUAGUUGUGGGACCCUAAAAAAUAUAAUUAAAUUUUCUGGG